rnacentral:rRNA from 1 species
AGUGAACGCUGGCGGUAGGCCUAACACAUGCAAGUCGAACGGCAGCACAGUAAGAGCUUGCUCUUACGGGUGGCGAGUGGCGGACGGGUGAGGAAUACAUCGGAAUCUACUUUUUCGUGGGGGAUAACGCAGGGAAACUUACGCUAAUACCGCAUACGACCUACGGGUGAAAGCAGGGGAUCUUCGGACCUUGCGCGAUUGAAUGAGCCGAUGUCGGAUUGGCUAGUUGGCGGGGUAAAGGCCCACCAAGGCGACGAUCCGUAGCUGGUCUGAGAGGAUGAUCAGCCACACUGGAACUGAGACACGGUCCAGACUCCUACGGGAGGCAGCAGUGGGGAAUAUUGGACAAAGGGCGCAAGCCUGAUCCAGCCAUACCGCGUGGGUGAAGAAGGCCUUCGGGUUGUAAAGCCCUUUUGUUGGGAAAGAAAAGCAGCAGGUUAAUACCCCGCUGUUCUGACGGUACCCAAAGAAUAAGCACCGGCUAACUUCGUG